CAGCAGUCGCGAAAACUUCACACUGGGGGCAACCCCGAUGAGGGAAUUCCUAGUGCUAGGACAUUUGUUCUAGCUUUUCUCAAGCGUAGGUAACUUGAGGAAUAAGGGCUGGGUAAGACGGGUGCCAGCCGCCGCGGUAAUACCUGCAGCCCAAGUGGUGGUCGAUUUUAUUGAGUCUAAAGCGUUCGUAGCCGGUCCGGUAAAUCCUUGGGUAAAUCGGGAAGCUUAACUUUCCGACUUCCGAGGAGACUGCCGGACUUGGGACCGGGAGAGGCUAGAGGUACUUCUGGGGUAGGGGUAAAAUCCUGUAAUCCUAGAAGGACCACCGGUGGCGAAGGCGUCUAGCUAGAACGGAUCCGACGGUGAGGGACGAAGCCCUGGGUCGCAAACGGGAUUAGAUACCCCGGUAGUCCAGGGUGUAAACGCUGCCGACUUGGUGUUGGAGGCCCUUCGGGGGCAUUCAGUGCCGGAGAGAAGUUGUU
rnacentral:rRNA from 1 species